AGAUUUUGAUCCUGGCUCAGAUUGAACGCUGGCGGCAUGCUUUACACAUGCAAGUCGACGGCAGCGGGGUAGUGCUUGCACUACUGCCGGCGAGUGGCGAACGGGUGAGUAAUAUAUUGGAACGUACCGGGUAAUGGGGGAUAACCAAUCGAAAGAUUGGCUAAUACCGCAUACGCUCUGAGGAGGAAAGCAGGGGACCUUCGGGCCUUGCGUUAUUCGAGCGGCCAAUAUCUGAUUAGCUAGUUGGUGGGGUAAAGGCCUACCAAGGCGACGAUCAGUAGCGGGUCUGAGAGGAUGAUCCGCCACACUGGGACUGAGACACGGCCCGGACUCCUACGGGAGGCAGCAGUGGGGAAUUUUGGACAAUGGGCGCAAGCCUGAUCCAGCCAUGCCGCGUGUCUGAAGAAGGCCUUCGGGUUGUAAAGGACUUUUGUUAGGGAAGAAAAAGGAGCGGUUAAUACCCGUUUCUGCUGACGGUACCUAAAGAAUAAGCACCGGCUAACUACGUG
rnacentral:rRNA from 1 species